CAGCAGCCGCGGUAAAACAGAGGGUGCGAGCGUUAAUCGGAUUUACUGGGCGUAAAGCGUGCGUAGGCGGCUUUUUAAGUCGGAUGUGAAAUCCCUGAGCUUAACUUAGGAAUUGCAUUCGAUACUGGGAAGCUAGAGUAUGGGAGAGGAUGGUAGAAUUCCAGGUGUAGCGGUGAAAUGCGUAGAGAUCUGGAGGAAUACCGAUGGCGAAGGCAGCCAUCUGGCCUAAUACUGACGCUGAGGUACGAAAGCAUGGGGAGCAAACAGGAUUAGAUACCCGUGUAGUCCCUGUCUCUUAUAC
rnacentral:rRNA from 1 species